rnacentral:lncRNA from 1 species
CACAUGACAUGUCAAAGGAAAACUAAAAAUAAAGUCCUUGGUAUGAAAAUGUCAACUCUUAUACUUACAUUGCUGUUAGCCGAUAUCCUCUUAUUUCCCGACUUUCAUUUAAAAUCUUUAUUCACUUACCACAUUACAUAUCAGCCCAAAAGCCUGUAUCUAUCAGUAGUGAACAGAAAAGAGAACCUAUUUCUAGGGAGAUUUAGAGUCAGAAUCGGUUUUGCAAAAUCAUGCUUGCUGAAUGUGCUGGAAUCUUGUUAUCUGUAAGUGUCUCCUAGUUCAAAUAUCUUUUGUCCAAUUCCCCUUGUAAGACUGAGGAGGAGGCAGGCCAGGAGCCCCUCGACAAGUCUAUAAGAAUCCUGCAGACCAUACCUGGGCCUCUGAGUCUAGUUUGGGCUUCAGAACAGAAUCUCCCUGCUCCUAACAUGAUAAUCCCCCCUGGUCCUACCCUCGGAUGUCCUGGCUGUUGUCCACAGGAGGUGUGGACACAACAUGUGACUUCUUUGUCUUUUUUUUUUUUGUUUUUGUUUGUUUGCUUGUUUUUUUUUUAUCAACUAGAUAUUUUGCAGUGUGAUAAGAAAGUGUGCAGUUGCUCCUUUUUAAUGGAGACAGUGGGAAGUGGGUAUCUACAAUAUUAAAUGAAUAAAACAAAUGUUAAACAAAUAAUGUUAAAUUUUCAUUUUUUUAUUCUGCUCUGUCAAGACAGAUCAUAAACCUGGAAAUGUCUAAAGCAAGCAACAUUUCCAGUGGGCGAAAACCUACUUUACUUACACUCUAAAUGACUAUAAGUUUUAUUGUUCUGUUUUGUAGUUGUUUGGGGUUCCUUUUCUGUCUAUAGGUAACAAUUUAUGUUUUAUCUAUUUGUGAGCCUCAGUAAGCCCACUGGCUAUUUCUUUUACUAUCUGUUUGUUGUUUUUCUUUAAACACUUAGAUUUGGUUUCUGGUACUUUUUCCGCCCCAUUUUUAUUCACAGAAAUUUGAAGAUAUCAGUAUCUACGACAGUAAAAUUUAAUUUUAUCAAAUUCAUAAUCUAUUGUUCUUUAAGUUGUAUUGCUCUCAGUGAGCACUCUUUUGUUAAUUUAUCUACCUGAAUAUUUAUUUUGUUGGAGUAAGGAGGUAACUGUCGUGUGAAUCUUUUGUUAAUAUUACUUUGUAAAUGGUGUAAUGUAAUUUAUUUUAAAUUAUGUAUACUUCUUUUUUAAUGCACAAAAUAUCUAUGUACGGGGAACUGCAGAUUGGCUAAAACUGUCACUAAGCUGACGCAGCUGAUGUGGACGGCGUGUGGAGAUGUAAUGUGCUUUUCUACAUUUUCAUAUGGGUUAUUUGUAAAUAUCUAUAUUGCUGACAGACAUAAAUCCAGAAGUCAUUUUCAUUCUAAUUGUG